rnacentral:rRNA from 1 species
GACGAACGCUGGCGGCGUGCUUAACACAUGCAAGUCGAGCGGUAAGGCCCUUUCGGGGGUACACGAGCGGCGAACGGGUGAGUAACACGUGAGCAAUCUGCCCUUCACUUUGGGAUAAGCACCGGAAACGGUGUCUAAUACCGAAUAUGACCACUUCACGCAUGUGAUGGUGGUGGAAAGUUCCGGCGGUGGAGGAUGAGCUCGCGGCCUAUCAGCUUGUUGGUGGGGUAAUGGCCUACCAAGGCUUCGACGGGUAGCCGGCCUGAGAGGGUGACCGGCCACACUGGGACUGAGACACGGCCCAGACUCCUACGGGAGGCAGCAGUGGGGAAUAUUGGACAAUGGGCGAAAGCCUGAUCCAGCAACGCCGCGUGAGGGAUGACUGCCUUCGGGUUGUAAACCUCUUUCAGCAGGGACGAAGCGCAAGUGACGGUACCUGCAGAAGAAGCACCGGCCAACUACGUGCCAGCCGCCGCAGUAACAC